AAACAUUAGAAAACAACAACCCUGGAGCACUCUAUCAGCGCAUUAGAAGUUCACUCACAGAAUACGGCUGAACUAAAAGGAAAAAGGAGUGAGAGAAGCAUACGCUACAAAUUAAAGCUGUCAAUACAUCAUUUGACCAAUAUGUGUAGUAUAUUUACUUACAGGCAUACUUAAGAAAUGGUCCUCAGGCUGGGCGCGGUGGCUCAUGCCUGUAAUCCCAGCACUUUGGGAGGACGAGGCGGGCGGAUCACGAGGUCAGGAGAUCAAGACUAUCCUGGGCUGAGGCAGGAGAAUGGCGUGAACCCGAGAGGCGGAGCUUGCAGUGAGCCGAGAUUGCGCCACUGCACUCCAGCCUGGGCGACAGAGCGAGACUCUGUCUCAAAAAAAAAAAAAAAGAAAAGAAAUGGUCCUUAAUCAGUAACAAUAUGUCAUUUGCUGUUAACUUUUUAAAAAAGGAUGUGUCUGUCUCCCUGUCUUGUAGCCCCAAACGUAUACUUGAUCUUGGUAAAGGAUGUCACCCAGUAUCUUAAAUAAGCCCUGAAGUUUCCCAUGUCCCAGGAAUUAUUCACUUGACCCUCCCAAGUUAAAUGCAGUGUCUUCCAAAAAAUCUUGGUGGUCUACUUCUUUGGAAUACAUUAGUAUCUUUUCUACAGCAUUUGGCAGCUACCUUGCUUUAAACACUGUUCUCUAGUUUUGUGUUCUACUAUUUAUGCAUAUUAUCACCUACAAAAAGUUUCUCUAACAUUCAUGUAUGAGUUGGCUGUUCAUAUGGAUCAAUAUAUCACUUAUUACCCAAUCCUUUAAGGCUUGAUUUAUUUUCCUUUCCCUUCAGAUUGUAAAACUCUUGAAUGGCAGGAACCCUGUCUAGUUCCACAUCGAAUUUCCAGCCUGUUCCUCAGUAACAGCACCACUCAACAACUAGCUAUUGAAUGGCUGAGUGAGCUCCCUGCCUAUCUUAUAAAAUUAUUAGGGGCAUACUUUAUUUUUAUAUUUAUAUCUCAAUACCAGGAAUUUUCUGGGAAGUUAAGAAUUUCCAAUAAAUCUUGGACUACUCUAAAAUGCACCAGAAAUUACGUGGUCACACUCGUGCAGUGAAAGAAGGCUUUGGCAGUAGCAUAAGACAUUAAGCAGAAGUAGGAAAUGCAGUGAGGAAGAAGUUGUAAUGUUUUCAACAGCUGCCACUAUGGAUCUAGGAUGAGAGCUUUCCACAUGUUGUUAAGAAUGAGAGACAGAUUACUCCAAGGUAGGUAAGUGAUGUUGCUCAAAGAGGAAUUUUGAAAUCAAACAGCGUUUGCUUACUUUGAACUUGUACUAUUUGUCCCUUUGUCUAAUUUGGCACAAAAAUGGAAAGCCUGGUGGUAUGCUUGCAUCCAGUAUUGUUCCCCUCUUGAUAUGCUGUUUAACUCUCUCCAUGUGCAAGUCCUCACCAUACCUAGUCCUUUCAUCCCUCGUCAUACUAUGGCACGAGCAAAUGCCCAGUAGCAUGAUCUUGAAGUUAUUUGCAGUUUAUCCUUAUCUUUAUUUGUCAGUCUUCAAGUCCCAUAAAGUCUUCCUCUUAAAUGGUAGUGAGAGCGAUUAACUGUCUUCCACGCCCUUGGUCACUACCUUAGGGUAACCCCUUGUAUCUCUCACCUGGACUCUUACCAAAACCUGCUUCCUAACUGGUCUUUUUGCUUCAUCUUAGGCCCAUCUAUCCCAACUUCCAACACACCCCAGACUCUAUAGACAGACUUAGAACUUACAUUUUAUGUUUUAAAAUAUAAAUAUUGAACAUAUAAGGAUAAGAUGUUUAAAAUUGGCCAUUGGGAUCUGAAGGACCCAUCUAAGGCUUUUUUUGGAGGCUAAACAAUGAGAACAUCUUUGAAUUAGUGACAUUGUGAAUUAACAGAGAGCUAAGAUGUCUCUUGGUAUUUAAUAGGCAAUCCUCAAAAAGUUGGAUUAAAAAAAAUGCCACUGUGUGUGUGUGUUUAAGUACCUUAUUACUAAGAGAGAAAGAACAUUCAGUUCCCAUUUUAGGGGCUCUCCUGCUCCAGGAUUACUGAGGGUCCUCUGGAGUGUGCAUGGGCUCAGGUGAGGUUAUAAGCACAUCCUUGACAGGAGGGUGCUUCUAUCAGGGAAGGCCAAUAUCUUUCCGAGAACGUAAGCUUGUGGGAGGAGGUGGUAAACGAGGAAGCAGUGGGGACAUGAAGUGAGAACGCAGUACUCAGCCAGACCAGCUCAAUCAGUCCUGGUGAUGAACAAGGUGAAUCAGCUGCACUACCCUUACGGCCUGUUAGGACUGAUGUAUUCAAAUUAGGCAGCUGCAUGCACAGUAUGCACUGCACAAACCCAGGGAAGCUAUUUGCAUGGGAGUCUGUGAAUGGCAUCCUCUGGGACUGUGCAGUGCUCAACCUCUAUGAACAUAUGUAGCAGUCCUGAGUGACAUGUACAUGGCAUGUCUCUGUCUACUUUGGCAAUCUAAAUUAUCCUGAUGAUAUCUUCGAUAAUAGAAAUAAACAUUUGUGGGAUAUCUACCAAUUGUCAUCUCAAAAACUUAUUUUAAUGUACAAAUUUUAUAUCUAAAGAUUUGCGCAUGUUUCAAAAUGCUUAUUAGACUGAUGUCAUUACCAUUCAUUUAUUCUAAAAAAUGACAAUUGAGCUGCUAAGUUUCAGGCAUGAUUCAAAAGCCUGGUUCUAUAAAUGUAUUGAGCACCAACUACAAAUCUUAGAAACACCAUUAACUGAUUUCUUUAAAAUAUCAGCUUAUGUUUAUGUUUUUUUCAGUUUAUGCCAUUUUAUAAUAUGAAGAUGUCCUCUAUAUCCUCUUUUUUAGAGAUGGAAUCUGGCUCUGUUGCCCAGGCUGGAGUGUAGUGGCACGAUCUCGGCUCACUGCCACCUCCACCUCCAGGGUUCAAGCACUUCUCCUACCUCAGCCUCCUGAGUAGCUGGGAUUACAGGUGCCUGCCACCAUGUCUGGUUAAUUUUGUAUUUUUAGUAGAGAUGGGGUUUCACCAUGUUGGCCAUGCUGGUCUCGAACUCUUGACCUCAAGUGAUUUGCCUGCCUCAGCCUCCCAAAGUGCUGGUAUUACAGGCAUGACCCACCGUGCCUGGCCUCUAAAUCCUCUUUAUUUCAUAGACAAUCAUCUAUUAAAAUCUGGAGAUGAAAUGUUCUUUCAUUUCAGACAAUUCAAUAUAGUAGGAUGCCU
rnacentral:lncRNA from 1 species